GUACUGCUGAGGAGUCCCACAAUUGAACGAAAUGGCCAUCCAGUGC
rnacentral:hammerhead_ribozyme from 1 species